rnacentral:rRNA from 1 species
UGGGGAAUAUUGCGCAAUGGGCGAAAGCCUGACGCAGCGACGCCGCGUGGGGGAUGAAGCUUCUCGGAGUGUAAACCCCUUUCGACCCGGACGAAUGACCCGCAAGGGUUUGACGGUACGGGUAUAAGAAGCCCCGGCUAACUACGUGCCAGCAGCCGCGGUAAUACGUAGGGGGCCAGCGUUGCUCGGAAUUACUGGGCGUAAAGGGUUCGUAGGCGGUGCGGCAAGUUGGGAGUGAAAUCUCUGGGCUUAACUCAGGGGCUGCUUUCAAAACUGCCGCGCUCGAGUGCGAGAGAGGUCAGUGGAAUUGCAGGUGUAGCGGUGAAAUGCGUAGAUAUCUGCAGGAACACCCGUGGCGAAGGCGGCUGACUGGAUCGCAACUGACGCUGAGGAACGAAAGCUAGGGGAGCAAACAGGAUUAGAUACCCUGGUAGUCCUAGCCCUAAACCAUCAGAACUUGGGGUGGCCCGCGUAGGCGGGUCGUCCCGUAGCUAACGCGCUAAGUUCUGCGCCUGGGGAGUACGGUCGCAAGACUG